rnacentral:tRNA from 1 species
GGGUUUCUUGCCAAUUGGCCGGUGAUCGCAAGAUCGUCGAUCUGCUUUCACACGGCAGAGGUCACUGGUUCGAUCCCAGUAGCGCCCA